UACGUAGGGUGCGAGCGUUAAUCGGAAUUACUGGGCGUAAAGCGUGCGCAGGCGGUUCUUUGUGUCGGUGGUGAAAGCCCCGGGCUCAACCUGGGAAUGGCCAUGGAAACUGGCGAACUGGAGUGUGGCAGAGGGGGGUGGAAUUCCGAGUGUAGCAGUGAAAUGCGUAGAGAUGCGGAGGAACACCGAUGGCGAAGGCAGCCCCCUGGGCUAGCACUGACGCUCAGGCACGAAAGCGUGGGGAGCAAACAGG
rnacentral:rRNA from 1 species